rnacentral:rRNA from 1 species
UGAGGAAUAUUGGUCAAUGGGUGCAAGCCUGAACCAGCCAUCCCGCGUGAAGGACGACUGCCCUAUGGGUUGUAAACUUCUUUUGUAUAGGGAUAAACCUACCCUCGUGAGGGUAGCUGAAGGUACUAUACGAAUAAGCACCGGCUAACUCCGUGCCAGCAGCCGCGGUAAUACGGAGGGUGCAAGCGUUAUCCGGAUUUAUUGGGUUUAAAGGGUCCGUAGGCGGACUUAUAAGUCAGUGGUGAAAGCCUGUCGCUUAACAGCUAGAACUGCCAUUGAUACUGUAAGUCUUGAGUAUAUUUGAGGUAGCUGGAAUAAGUAGUGUAGCGGUGAAAUGCAUAGAUAUUACUUAGAACACCAAUUGCGAAGGCAGGUUACCAAGAUAUAACUGACGCU